rnacentral:misc_RNA from 1 species
AAGUCGUAACAAGGUUUCCGUAGGUGAACCUGCGGAAGGAUCAUUAACACGUAUCCAAACGUUAAACCCCCCUGUGAACCUUCAGUCGUACUCGUACGUCCGUUAGAAAAAGCAGCAAUCCCUGGUAAAUCAUCGCCGAACAGUUUUCGAUUCAGGGACGUCCUGGCAUCCCCAAGCAGUUAGUGUCUGAAAGUGUCACUAACGUUAGUGUCUGAAAGUGUCACUAACAUGUGUAAGGAUGACGCAGUCACGAUCGUUGGAGGCCCACACGGCCGACGACCGGGUCACUGGGUGCAAGCCCCCUUAUCACACCCCUGCUCUAUCUAUGGUGAUCCUGCGGGAAGUCCUGCGGUCGAACGCCGAAACCGAACAACUGUUAACAAUGGAUAUCUUGGUUCUC